GGUGAAGAUUAACCUACAUCAGUAAUGAAUCUAGUUUUUCCUGUAGAGCUGGUGAAGGUUUGGUAUCAUAGCUCCAGUUGCUGCUUUCCAAGAAAUGUGACGCAAGUGGACCUACCUCUCCUAGGGAGGAAGCCCAGUUUGCCUCCAGAGCACAUCCUUCAAGAUGCAGGACCCAAGGUGUACAUACCCACAGACCCCGGUCCCUCAUGCACAGUGCCUCUUUCCUGGGAGCUUGUUAACACUGGGGGGCACAGGGGCCUGAAAAGAAGCUCCUGCCUCUUCUCCUGGUCUCCACUGUCAUUCCCCAUCCCAGCAGGACUGAAGACCCAGCCAUUCCCAUUGGGUUGUGUUCUCUCUGUGCUGGCAGAGAAAGAGCAGCAGGAGUCGGCUCCACCUGCAGCCACAAGUCCCCCACAAGCUGUGUCCUCUGGGACACCUAUUAGAGACUUCUUCAAACAUGCCCAAACAGUGGAAGGUGUUGCCAAGCCAGCAUGGGACUACUCCUGCUCCUGUUCCUGCUCCUGUUUGGAAAAGGCCACUCUUUGCUGCAGGUGCUGCAGCCGUGCCUCAGCAGAGGGGGCACAGACCAGGACACACAGCCAGUUUCAGAGGUGAGGAGGCCCUGGGUACCUGGCACAUGGCCCCUUCUGCUCAGCAACUCUUCUUCCUGGCUGUGCCCACCUCUGGGUGGGUGCACCAGGCUGGGGCUAGAAGCAGCUUAGAGACUGGGGAAGGUGAGACCAAGGAGGGGACUUUUCCUGAGUAGCUUACACCAUGAGACCUCCGGAGAGGUGCAAGGACAGAGACACAAGCAUCCAGUGCUGGCCCAAUGCUGACACUGCUCUACCAGUGGGAAUUUUGUCCCUGAUGAGUUCAGUGGGCUCAGGCUGAAGCCAACAGGGCCCCCAUAUGGACACCUUAUCUCAACAGGAUGGACAACCCCAGCACAACUGUAUUUGCAGGGAUAGAGUGGAAGGAAGCCUGGAUGGCUUUGGGUGGAUUUAGGCAUUUAUGCACCAUGGCCCAUCCUGUAAAGGGAUUAAAACAAGCAGUUUUCUUUCUUUUCCUUUUAUCCCUACAGACAGAGAGUGUAAGGACUCUUGUUUUGCAUAUAAGCACUGCUUGUGAUUGUAGGAGAGGAGUUUCCCAAAGCAGAAUGUAGUAACUGAAAUGAAAUGGAACAAAUGCAUCAAACCCAAGGCAUUUAAUAAAAUAAAACAUCUCUUUUAUGCCCA
rnacentral:lncRNA from 1 species